rnacentral:rRNA from 1 species
AUCUAUAAACAACUUUCAACAACGGAUCUCUUGGCUCUCGCAUCGAUGAAGAACGCAGCGAAAUGCGAUAAGUAAUGUGAAUUGCAGAAUUCAGUGAAUCAUCGAAUCUUUGAACGCACCUUGCGCUCCUUGGUAUUCCGAGGAGCAUGCCUGUUUGAGUGUCAUGAA